rnacentral:rRNA from 1 species
CCUACGGGUCGCACCAGUGGGGAAUAUUGCACAAUGGGCGCAAGCCUGAUGCAGCCAUGCCGCGUGUAUGAAGAAGGCCUUAGGGUUGUAAAGUACUUUCAGUUGGGAGGAAGGCGUUGAUGCUAAUAUCAUCAACAAUUGACGUUACCAACAGAAGAAGCACCGGCUAACUCCGUGCCAGCAGCCGCGGUAAUACGGAGGGUGCAAGCGUUAAUCGGAAUUACUGGGCGUAAAGCGCACGCAGGCGGUCUGUCAAGUCGGAUGUGAAAUCCCCGGGCUCAACCUGGGAACUGCAUUCGAAACUGGCAGGCUAGAGUCUUGUAGAGGGGGGUAGAAUUCCAGGUGUAGCGGUGAAAUGCGUAGAGAUCUGGAGGAAUACCGGUGGCGAAGGCGGCCCCCUGGACAAAGACUGACGCUCAGGUGCGAAAGCGUGGGGAGCAAACAGGAUUAGAUACCCCGGUAGUC